rnacentral:rRNA from 1 species
CGGAGGAAAAGAAACCAACAGGGAUUGCCUUAGUAGCGGCGAGUGAAGCGGCAAAAGCUCAAAUUUGAAAUCUGGCUCUUUCAGAGUCCGAGUUGUAAUUUGAAGAAGGUAUCUUUGGGUCUGGCUCUUGUCUAUGUUUCUUGGAACAGAACGUCACAGAGGGUGAGAAUCCCGUGCGAUGAGAUGAUCCAGGCCUAUGUAAAGUUCCUUCGAAGAGUCGAGUUGUUUGGGAAUGCAGCUCUAAGUGGGUGGUAAAUUCCAUCUAAAGCUAAAUAUUGGCGAGAGACCGAUAGCGAACAAGUACAGUGAUGGAAAGAUGAAAAGAACUUUGAAAAGAGAGUGAAAAAGUACGUGAAAUUGUUGAAAGGGAAGGGCUUGAGAUCAGACUUGGUAUUUUGUAUGUUACUUCUUCGGGGGUGGCCUCUACAGUUUAUCGGGCCAGCAUCAGUUUGGGCGGUAGGAGAAUUGCGUUGGAAUGUGGCACGGCUUCGGUUGUGUGUUAUAGCCUUCGUCGAUACUGCCAGCCUAGACUGAGGACUGCGGUUUAUACCUAGGAUGUUGGCAUAAUGAUCUUAAGUCGCCCGUC